AUUGAACGCUGGCGGCAGGCCUAACACAUGCAAGUCGAACGAGUGGCGGACGGGUGAAUAAUGUCUGGGAAACUGCCUGAUGGAGGGGGAUAACUACUGGAAACGGUCGCUAAUACCGCAUACCAUCGGAUGUGCACAGAUGGGAUUAGCUAGUAGGUGGGGUAAAGGCUCACCAAGGAGACGAUCCCUAGCUGGUCUGAGAGGAUGACCAGCCACACUGGAAAUGAGACACGGCCCAGACUCCUACGGGAGGCAGCAGUGGCGAAUAUUGCACAAUGGGAGCAAGCCUGAUGCAGCCAUGCCGCGUGUAUGAAGAAGGCCUUCGAGUGGUAAAGUACUUUCAGCGGGGAGGCGUUACCCGCAGAAGAAGCACCGGCUAACGCCGUGCCAGCAGCCGCGGUAAUUC
rnacentral:rRNA from 1 species